rnacentral:rRNA from 1 species
CCAAUAGCGUAUAUUAAAGUUGUUGCAGUUAAAAAGCUCGUAGUUGAAUUUCGGGAUUAAUUUAUUGGUCGUGCUAUUGUACGUACUGGUUUUAUUGAUUCCUCCCUUCUGACGAACUAUGAUGCCAUUAAUUUGGUGUCAUAGGGAAUCAGGACUGUUACUUUGAAAAAAUUAGAGUGUUUAAAGCAGGCUCACGCUUGAAUACAUUAGCAUGGAAUAACGGAAUAGGACGUUUGAUUCUAUUUUGUUGGUUUCUAGGAUCGACGUAAUGAUUAAUAGGGAUAGUUGGGGGCAUUAGUAUUCAAUUGUCAGAGGUGAAAUUCUUGGAUUUAUUGAAGACUAACUACUGCGAAAGCAUUUGCCAAGGAUGUUUUCAUUAAUCAAGAACGAGAGUUAGGGGAUCGAAGACGAUCAGAUACCGUCGUAGUCUUAACCAUAAACUAUGCCGACUAGGGAUCGGAUGAUGUUAAUUUUUUAAUGACUCAUUCGGCGCCUUACG